rnacentral:rRNA from 1 species
AGCUGGGGGUGGUCGCAGAGGCCAGGGGGAAGCGACUGUUUACUAAAAACACAGGUCCGUGCGAAGUCGUAAGACGCGGUAUACGGACUGACGCCUGCCCGGUGCCGGAACGUUAAGAGGACCGGUUACACCCUUUGGGGUGGACGCUGAGAAUCUAAGCGCCGGUAAACGGCGGUGGUAACUAUAACCAUCCUAAGGUAGCGAAAUUCCUUGUCGGGUAAGUUCCGACCUGCACGAAUGGCGUAACGACUUCCCCGCUGUCUCAACCGCAGGCCCGGUGAAAUUGCAGUACGAGUAAAGAUGCUCGUUUCGCGCAGCAGGACGGAAAGACCCCGGGACCUUCACUAUAGCUUGGCAUUGGCGUUUGGAGCGUCUUGUGUAGGAUAGGUGGGAGACUGUGAAGCCGGCACGCCAGUGCUGGUGGAGUCGUUGGUGAAAUACCACUCUGGUCGUUUCGAGCGUCUAACCCGCACCCGUGGAUCCGGGUGGGGGACAGUGCCUGGUGGGUAGUUUAACUGGGGCGGUUGCCUCCUAAAGGGUAACGGAGGCGCCCAAAGGUUCCCUCAGCCUGGUUGGCAAUCAGGUGGCGAGUGUAAGGGCACAAGGGAGCUUGACUGUGAGACGGACGUGUCGAGCAGGUGCGAAAGCAGGGCCUAGUGAUCCGGCACCGGCGUGUGGAAGCGGUGUCGCUCAACGGCUAAAAGGUACCCCGGGGAUAACAGGCUGAUCUUCCCCAAGAGUCCAUAUCGACGGGAUGGUUUGGCACCUCGAUGUCGGCUCGUCGCAUCCUGGGGCUGGAGUAGGUCCCAAGGGUUGGGCUGUUCGCCCAUUAAAGCGGCACGCGAGCUGGGUUUAGAACGUCGCGAGACAGUUCGGUCCCUAUCCGCUGCGCGCGUAGGAGAAUUGUGAGGGUCUGUCCCUAGUACGAGAGGACCGGGACGGACGGACCUCUGGUGUGCCAGUUGUCCCGCCAGGGGCACGGCUGGUUGGCUACGUCCGGUAGGGAUAACCGCUGAAAGCAUCUAAGCGGGAAGCCUUCCUCGAGAUGAGUUCUCCCACCCCGUCAAAGGGGUGUAAGGCCCCCGGGAGACGACCGGGUUGAUAGGCCGGGGAUGGAAGCAUCGUAAGGUGUGGAGUCGACCGGUACUAAUAGGCCGAGUGGCUUGAACA